UGAGUAAUGCCUAGGAAUCUGCCUGGUAGUGGGGGACAACGUUUCGAAAGGAACGCUAAUACCGCAUACGUCCUACGGGAGAAAGCAGGGGACCUUCGGGCCUUGCGCUAUCAGAUGAGCCUAGGUCGGAUUAGCUAGUUGGUGAGGUAAUGGCUCACCAAGGCGACGAUCCGUAACUGGUCUGAGAGGAUGAUCAGUCACACUGGAACUGAGACACGGUCCAGACUCCUACGGGAGGCAGCAGUGGGGAAUAUUGGACAAUGGGCGAAAGCCUGAUCCAGCCAUGCCGCGUGUGUGAAGAAGGUCUUCGGAUUGUAAAGCACUUUAAGUUGGGAGGAAGGGCAGUAAGUUAAUACCUUGCUGUUUUGACGUUACCGACAGAAUAAGCACCGGCUAACUCUGUGCCAGCAGCCGCGGUAAUACAGAGGGUGCAAGCGUUAAUCGGAAUUACUGGGCGUAAAGCGCGCGUAGGUGGUUUGUUAAGUUGGAUGUGAAAGCCCCGGG
rnacentral:rRNA from 1 species